GGGCGAUUGGCUCAGUGGUAGAGCACUCGCUUCACACGCGAGGGGUCACUGGUUCGAACCCAGUAUCGCCCACCG
rnacentral:tRNA from 2 species